rnacentral:lncRNA from 1 species
CACAUAAAAAUAAUUCCCUCAAUAAGUAAAGCAAAAGACACAGUUAACCAAAGUUGAGAGAUGGCAGAUAUUAAGUUGCUUGGUCUAUGGUAUAGCCCUUUUAGUAAAAGAGUUGAAUGGGCUCUUAAGACUAAGGGUGUGGAAUAUGAAUAUAUAGAAGAUGAUCUACAAAAUAAGAGCCUUUUACUUCUUCAAUCCAAUCCAAUUCACAAGAAAGUCCCUGUGCUCAUUCACAAUGGGAAGCCAAUUUGUGAGUCAAGUGUGAUUCUCGAAUACAUUGACGAGACAUUUGAAGGCCCUUCCAUCUUACCUAAAGACCCUUAUGAUCGAGCUUUAGCUCGUUUCUGGGCUAAAUUCUUCGAAGAUAAGGUAUAUCGACUCCUUAACUUGUCUCUACUCUGUUAAUUGAAUAUUCUAACUUAUAAAUGAUCAACUAUACAUCUCCAAAAUUUAUGUGGCAUGUCAUGAGGUGUCUACGAGACAUGUUAAAGAGUUGGAGUGCUUAAUUGUUAAUUGAGACCAAAUAUUUAGAUAUGCACAUUCAAAGUUAGAGUACUUAUUAUCGGAUACAACCAAGUCAGAAUGUCAUUUUAUAUAUAUUAUAUGUCUUGUGUAAAAUUGGACUAAAGUAAUAAAAUAUCACAUUGCCAACAAUAACUUAUUUGUGACUGACUAAUGUACUUCUAUUGUUGUAGAUUUAUAUCUUUAAAAUUUUGUUGAAUUCAAGUUCCAAUUGUUAUGUAGUGGCCAUCAAUGAUGAAAAGUCUAUUUUUCAAAGGAGAGGAGCAAGAGAAAGGUAAAGAGGAAGUUAAUGAGAUGUUGAAAAUUCUUGAUAAUGAGCUCAAGGACAAAAAGUUUUUUGUUGGUAACAACUUUGGAUUUGUUGAUGUUGUUGCAAAUGCUGUAGCCCUUUGGUUUGGAGUUCUUGAAGAAGUAAUUGGAGUUGUUUCGGUGACAAGUGAAAAAUUCCCAAAUUUUUGCGAUUGGAGAGAUGAAUACUACAUUCAAAACAAGGAAUAUUUACCGUCAAGAGAUGAAUUGUUUGCCCAUUACCAAGCUUACAUUCAACGUGUUGCUGCUUCAAAAUGAUUACUCCUCUAUUGAAUUUUAAGAUUUCGUGUGGCAAUAAAAAAUAGUGAUGUAUUUUUUGUGAAAUCAAUGGUAAUUGAAAUAUACACGUUAAAAAAGUGAUAAAGUUUUUAUCGGCAUUAGUUAAUUAUUAUUAGAUCUACUAUGACUUUAGACUUUAAGGACAUUUAUAAAGAAUGUUAAUUUAUCAUUAAAAUAUACAUCUAUAGCAGUAAUUAAGUUAUUGUCAUUAACUAAUUUCAUUAAAGAUCAUUUUUUAUAUAGUGAGAGAAAUUUUCCUCUCAUAGAAACAACUCACGAAUUUGAGUCUCACAUUUAAAAGACAGAAAAUCCGCAAGGAUCUAAAAGAAGAUUGUUGCUAUCCAGCUAUCUCGAAAUUCAAUGUACAAUUAAUAAGAAUUCAAAACCUUUUGAUUGUGGGGGCAAAAGUGAAAAGAACGCUUCACAAAAGAAUCUUCUACAGCACGUUCUGUAACCUUAGUUCUACUCCAAUUUUUGUGGUAUAUUUAUGAAUUUAAAUAUUUUUAACACUUAAUUAUUUUGUUUUAUUUUUAAAUCCAACUUGACUAUUAACAUUUUCUAUUCAAUUAUUGUUUGGGUGGUUGGUCAGUAAUUGUACAACAAUUAAUUAAAUACACCACUAAGUUUCUCAUGAUUGACUUAUGACUCAUGGUAUGAAAGCAAUUUUAUAUUGGCCUUCUAUGUUUCCAAGAGUAAACUUUAAGGAAAAGGGUAGAUGUAUCUUGAAUUAUAAGUAGAUAUUUUUUGUCAUUUUUUAGAAAUAUUAGUAUUUUUAUCAUUCAAAAAUUAGAGUAUGUGUACUAUUUAUAUUAAUGAAAAUAUACGUAUCAUAAUUUUAUUCAUCGACUCAUUAUCGGAUCGAUGGAUAAUAUUGCGCCACAUGUCCCUAUUUACACUUUUUCGUUAAAGUGAAGGGCAUAUCGCUCUAGUUUUUAGUCGGCAGGGACAUCAAUAUUCCAAAAAUAUGACAGAAGGUAUCUGCACAACAUUUACAAUGAUUAAAGGAUAUAUUUAUUCUUUUUCCCUAAAAUAUAUUACUUCCUCUCCUCUAUUUUAAUUCAUUUAUUUUUAAAAAAUUAUUAUUUUUAAUUCUAAUUUGACAUAAUAUUUUUUAAAAAAAUUGAAUCCUUGUGAUUAAAAUCGUCAAAUAAGGCUUGAUCUUUGAGGGCAAUCCAACUCAAAUUGUUAACUGGAAUACCAGAUAGAAUAGAGUUAAAAUUUUGCAAGGCAAUUCAAAAUUGGGGCUUAUAAGCCCAACAUCAGUCAGCUCGAGCCCUUGUGGCUUGAGUGACACUGGGUUGAGGCUCUCAGCCAAAAAGAUAUGUGGUUCAAAUUUAGUAAUUAAAAUAAAUUGCGAUAAAAGAAGUAAAAACUAAAUAUAUUGAUUGUCGAAUAUAUUUUAGUAUCUUCCUCUCCUUUAUUUUAAUUAUUUAUUUAAAAAAAAAAAAUUUUUAAAUUUUUACUUGACAUAAUGUUAUUUUUUAAAAUUGUAUCUUUGUGAUUAAAAUCGUCAAAUAAAGCUUAAUCUUUGAGGCCAACCCAACUCAUAUCAUUAACCGGAUAGAAUUGAGUUCAAAUUUUGCAAGGCAAUUCAAAAUUGGAGCUUAAAAGCCCAACAUCAAUCAACUCGCGACCCUUGAGGCUCCCGGCCAAAAAGAUAUGUGAUUCAAAUUUAAAAACUAAAAUAAAUUAUAAUAAAAGAAUUGAAAAGUAAAUAUAAUGAUUGUCGAAUACGUCUUAAUAUCUUAUCUUAGGCAAUACUUUAUUCAUUUAGCGUAAAUCCUAAUCUCCUCGUGAGCAAGUUGCAUGUAAUAUUGCGUAAAGUAAUUAGUAGUGUUGUCACGGCCCGAUGACACCCACACUUACCCUCCUAUGUGAGCGAACCAACCAAUCUAAACCUUAACAUUUCAAUAUAAUAUCAACAAAAGUAAUGCGGAAGACUUAAACUCAUUAAUAAAAACCAAUUCAAUAACUUCUAAAAACUCAACAACUAUUAUUAUCCCCAAAAUCUGGAAGUCAUCAUCACAAGAACAUCUACUUCAAAUUACUAAACUAAGAGUAUUCUAAUAAACUAAAAUAAGUAAAAGCUAGUCCAUGCCGGAAGUUCAAGGCAUCAAGACAUGAAGAGGAAGAUCCAGUCCAAGCUAGAAGCAUUAGCUCACCCUGAUAUCCGGAGUAAUGAAGACUGGCUAGAGUUGCGUUUGAGUUGAAGACGAUGGCACGUUUGCUGCACUCCACAAAUAACAAAGAAGAAAACAUAAAAGUAGGGGGUCAGUACAAAACACGGGUACUGAGUAGAUAUCAUCGGCCAACUAAAAAUAGAAAACAGUAUAUAUCAGAUAAUAUCAUAAAAUCAACUACAAUACUCAACAUGCGGCAUUUACAAUUACCAUAACCCUUGGUCAUAACACCAAUCUCAUCAAUGAGGACUCACGCCUCCCUAUCAUACUCAUUUGGGAUUUAGGUUCAUUAAAUUGAGUAUAUUAACAUAUUUCAAGAUUCAUUCUCUUUACUAAUCCUGGUGUCGGAACGUGACACUCCGAUCCUCAUCAUACUAUCCUGGUGUCGAAAUGUGACACUCCGAUCCUCAUAUACUAUCCUGGUACCGGAACGUGGCACCCGAUCCUCAUAUACUAUCCUGGUACCGGAACGUGGCACCCGAUCCUCAUAUACUAUCCUGGUACCGGAACGUGGCACCCGAUCCAUAUUCUAUCUUGGUGUCGGAACGUGACACUCCGAUCCUCAUAUACUAUUCUGGUACCGGAACGUGGCACCCGAUCCAUAUUCUAUCCUGGUGUCAGAACGUGACACUCCGAUCCUCAUAUACUAUCCUGGUAUUGGAACGUGGCACCCGAUCCCCUAAUCUCAUUACUUUCGUUCAUCAAGCCUUCUUUUAUACCAAGGAAUCAUCAUUAAAAAAGUAGAUUAGGGUUUCUUUUUCAAGAUUUAGGAUUCAAUAGCUUCAUCAUGCUUAUUUUAUCACAAUUAUAUAAUCACAACAUGCAAACACACAAUUAAGCAUAUAGAAGGGUUUACAACACUACCCAAUACAUAUCAUUCGCUAUUAAGAGUUUACUAUGAAAGAGCAUAAAAACCAUAACCUACCUCCACCGAAGAUUCGUGAUCAAGCAACAAGCUAAUCUUCAAAGUCUUUGCUUUCCUCUUCGUUUCUCCCCUUUCUCGUUCGAUUCUCUUUCUCUCUCUUCUGUUCUUUCUAUUUUUCUUAUUCAGGCUCUCUUUCUUUUACCCUAAUUAACAUAUAAUUAAGAAUAAAAGAUGGCAAUAAUAACCCACUAGUUUACUCAAGGUUACCUCUUUUAGCCCCCAAGUAAUUGAGUUAUUAAUAUUAAACCACUAACAUUAUAAUUAUAAGUCGGAAUAGUCAAAAACGUCCCUUAAAACAUUAAAGAAAUCCGACUCCGCCUAGGAUUACGCAGCCUGUGACGGGCCGUCGUGCCUGCGACGGUCCGUCCUGCUGCUCCGUCACAGAGUUCAGAGACUCAAUUCUCUGAAGAGUCUGUGACGGUCCGUCACGCCUGUGACGGUCCGUCCUGCCAUUCCGUUACGAAGUUCAGAGAGUCGAUUUCAGUACCCAUUUUUUAAAAUUUCUAAGUGUUUUGAAACGAGACACCCUCGACGGUCCGUCGUGCCCAUGACGGUCCGUCGUGGAUUCCGUCAUCUCAGCCUGUUUUUCCAGAAAUAAAAUCUGCUGCUCAAAACGACUAAACAGAUCGUUACAAUAGAUACCAAUUUACCCAUCGUUCGUCCCCGAACGAUCACAAGAAGGAAAACAAGGGCGAGAAGGAGUACCUGAAUCUGUAAACAGGUUUGGGUAUCUUUCUCGCAUAUCAGCCUCUUUCUCCCAAGUGGCUUCUUCGACGGGUCGAUUCUUCCAUUGAACUUUGAUGGAUGCAAUCUCCCUUGACCUUAGCUUGUGAACUUCUCUGUCUAAAAUGGCAACAGGUUCCUCCUCAUAAGACAAAUUCUCAUCAAGCAAAAUGGAAUCCCAACGGAUGAUGUAGUUUCCAUCCCCGUGGUAUCUUUUCAACAUAGACACAUGGAAUACCGGAUGCACUCCUGACAACCCUGGAGGCAAGGCUAACUCAUAAGCCACCUCCCCUACUCGCUUAAGUAUUUCAAAGGGACCAAUAUAUCUUGGGCUUAAUUUUCCCCUUUUACCAAAACGCAUCACCCCUUUCAUGGGUGAGACCUUCAGCAAGACCUGUUCACCCUCCAUAAACUCCAAGUCUCUAACCUUGCGAUCCGCAUAUUCCUUUUGCCUACUUUGCGCCGCUAGAAGCUUUUCUUGAAUAGAUUUCACUUUAUAUAACGAUUCCCUCAGAAGAUCAGUACCCCAAGGUCUAACUUCAAAUGCAUCAAACCACCCAAUGGGAGACCUACAUCUUCUCCCAUAUAGUGCCUCAAAUGGGCCAUAUCAAUGCUUGAGUGAUAGCUAUUGUUGUAGAAUUUAUUUUUUGUCGAGUGUUUAGUUUAUGAUUGCUCAAUUCGUUUUGUGUUUAGAUUAAAAAUUCUAUAAAAAGCUCCUUUAAUUUCUAAUUAUAUCUUUGAAUUAUUAUGAAUUUUCUAUUCAUGUAACUGGGUCAAGGUAGAUAAUUGCCGGACAAUUUUUUUAUGACCUUGUAACUAGCUAGGAGAAGAACAAUUUUAUUGUCAUGUUUACUAUUUUCUCACAUGAAUAAUUUUAGGAUAAAUAAUUGUCAUCUUAAUAAAUUGAUCACCUACGGAAUGUCAAUUUUCAAUGUUUCAUAUUUUUCUUAGAUCUUAUGAUUUUAAACAUGUCAUGUGAAAAAUUGAAACUAAAGAAUUGCUAAAAAAGAAAUAAAUAUUUUUUUUUAAAAAAUAUUCCUUUAUAGAAAAUAAAUAGUAUUUUCUACUAAAUUUUCUUUAAUUAAAUGUCUUGAAAAAGAGACAACUCUUUUAAGUGUUACGUAUUAUUAGACAUUUCAAUAAUUUAAAGAAUUCGAACUCACAACUCUAGCACGGAAAAUAUUCAAUUUCCAUGACCCAUUCCUUAUACUAACUUAUCAAUCAGUUUUGUUAGGAGUUCAUAAGAUAAUAUUGAUAAUAUUUUUAUAAUUUUGUAAUAAAUAUAAAAUUUACGAAAAAGUUCAUAUAUAUUCGAAUAAAAUUAUCCCAUUAUUUAUUUGAUUUAAAAUUUGAAUUUUCGUUGGAAUAAAAUUCUUCGUCCGAGAGAAAAGUAUCUUAGCUGUUCACAUGCUAAGGAACUAGGAAGUUUCGCCUUUGGUGGGCCAGUGAUUGUAUAUUUUAUUAUUUAAUAUAUAUCAAUUUCCUCAUCAAAUUGAAAAUGAAAGAUAAAAUCAACGGUAUUUUAAUUGUUAAUAUUUUCAAAUAAUAUUUUUUAAUUUUGUUUAGUUUUAAAAUUAAAAUACAUCAAAUAUAUUAAAAAUUCAUUAAUUUUAUAUGGCAAAGCACGCUACAUGAAAAAUUAAAAAAAAGGCCAUCAAACAAAUGAAAAGGAAUAUCGUUCGUAAAAUAAAUUAUAAAUAAAAAUAAAUUGAAUAAAUUAAAAAUAUAAGUAUAUUUUUAAAGAGUGAUUUUUCUAUCCACUAGAUUUGACCAAAAUGUUGGUGACAUGAGCGCACAAGUCAUCGUUAUUAUUGUAUUAUUCCUAAAAAAAAAAUAGGGAAGAUGUUCAAACAAGCGUCUAGUUAGUCAAAUAUAAUUUUUAAUAUUAAAAAAUUGAAUAGUCAAACAAGAAAAACAUUAAUAUAUCCCUAUUUUUUUCCUCUAUAAAUAAUAAAAAAGACUAUACACCAAGGGAGCCAAAAAAAAAAUUGAGAACCAAAGUUGAGAGAUGGCAGAAGUGAAGUUGCUUGGUCUAAGUUAUAGCCCUUUUAAUCAUAGAGUUGAAUGGGCUCUAAAGAUUAAGGGAGUGAAAUAUGAAUUUAUAGAAGAAGAUUUACAAAAUAAGAGUUCUUUACUUCUAGAAUCAAAUCCAAUUCACAAGAAAAUUCCAGUGCUAAUUCACAAUGGCAAGCCCAUUUGUGAGUCUAUGGUCAUUCUUGAAUACAUUGAUGAGGCAUUUGAAGGCCCUUCCAUUUUGCCUAAAGACCCUUAUGAUCGAGCUUUAGCGCGUUUUUGGGCUAAAUAUGUCGAUGAUAAGGUAUAUUGCUUUUAACUUAUUCCAAUUGAUUGAAAAUUUUGUUUUAGUUACAUUAUUAUACCUAAAUAAUGAAUACCAUAUUUGAUAGUUGAUUUUGAGGUAAGUUAUUUAUGUAAAAAAAAUAUAUAUAUAUUUGAUUUUUGUGUAAUUUAGAAAUACAUAACUAAUACAUGUAUAAGUUAUGAAGAAAUUUAUGUAUAUUGUAUAGGGAAAUGCACAAGUAUCCCCUUAACUUAUGCAUAAGUACCCACAAGAAAUUUUAGAGACACACUUAUACUAUACUAAGGUCCUAUUACCUCCUGAACUUAAUUUUAUAAAUAAUUUUCUACUCCUUUUCGAUCUAUAUGACACUAUCUUGUGGGCACAGCGUGUGUUGACAUUUUUCUUCAAACUAGUGUUACAUAGGCCGAAAAGGGGUAGAAAAUUAUUUAUAAAAUAAGUUCAGGAGUAAUAGAACCUUAGUAUAGUAUUAGUGUGUCUCUGAAAUUUCGGGCAUAGGUUGAGAAGGUACUUAUGCAUUAUCCUUAUUGCAUAACUAUUUUAUGUACAUAGAUUUUAUCAUAACUAAUUAAUAUAUUAUUAAUACCUGCAUAACUCUAAUUAGCUAUCAACAACGAGUCGACGACCCUUACUAAGUUUGUUUGUUGGGCAGGGGUCAGCAGUGUGGAAAAGUUUCUUCUUCAAAGGAGAGGAACAAGAGAAAGCUAAAGAGGAAGCUUAUGAGAUGUUGAAAAUUCUUGAUAAUGAGUUCAAGGACAAGAAGUACUUUGUUGGUGACAAAUUUGGAUUUGCUGAUAUUGUUGCAAAUGGUGCAGCACUUUAUUUGGGAAUUCUUGAAGAAGUAUCUGGAGUCGUUUUAGCGACAAGUGAAAAAUUUCCAAAUUUUUGUGCUUGGAGAGAUGAAUAUUGCAUCCAAAACAAGGAAUAUUUUCCUUCAAGAGAUGAAUUGCUUAUCCGUUAUCGAGCCUACAUUCAGCCUGUUGAUGCUUCAAAAUGAGUACACCUCAAAUGAAUUUCAAGAUUUUGUGUGGCAAUAAAAAUUGGAUUUUUCUAAAUUCAAUUGAAAUAUAUUAAAGUUGAAUGUAAUAAGAUUUAUCUUUAUUUCACUAGUUAAUAUAAUUUUUGGAUACACAAAUGAGUAAAAAAUAUUGUUAAGAGACAGCGAGCUUAAUACGCUAUUUUAUCUGAUUUAAAAAUUUAAAUUAUUUAAAUUUUAUUCUAAUUUGAUACAAAUUUUAAAAAGAUAAUAACUUAAUUUUAUAGUUAAAGCAGGAAAAAAAAAAUUGAUCCUUUGAACCCAUCUCUACCAACAUCAUUAAUUGAGUAAAAUUGGAUCAAGAUUUUAAACCGGUCUAUGAUUGGGACUUAUAAGCCUGGCCUUAGUUAAUUUGCCACCCUUGUGGCUUGAGUGAGGGUCGGCCGAGGCCGGUCAUGAGUCAAAAUAAUUUAAAAUGGAGAAAUUAAGCAAAUAUUUUAUAAAUGUAAAAUAAUUAUAAAAAUAUUAAUUUUUUUAUGUUUGUACCUUUAUUAAAAAAUUACACUAUAUACACGUUAAUUAAUUUCGCUUAAUUGAUACUAACUCGUAUUAUGUACUGUAUUGAUAUCAUUAAGACGAAUAACUUCACAUAAUUGAUACAUAAUAUAUAUAUAUAAGUUACGUAUUGUUUGUAAAUUAUUUUUAUUAAUUAAGUUAGUUGAUGAAAAUGAUACGUAUUGUUUGUAAAUUAUUUUUAUUAAUUAAGUUAGUUGAUGAAAAUGAUAACUAUCCAUUAUUUAUUGCUCCCUUCCUUCCUACCUAUAUGUUAUUUAUUGCUCCCUUCCUUCCUACCUAUAUGUUGUUCUUAUUAGAAUAGAUGAUCCUUUUUAAUAUUUAUCAUUUCAUAUAAUUAAUGCAUAAAUAAUAAUAUAUUUAUUUUUUUUAAUCUUGAAAGUUAUUAUCUUAAAAUUAUACAUCUGAUCAACAUUAUAGGAAAAUUUAAUAAUUAAUUUAUGUUCAUUGACAAUUAAUUAAAAUAAAUCUAUUUAUAUUUAUUUAUUAAAAAAUUGACUAUAAGAGAACACUAAAUAAAAAUACAUAAUAAACUUAUUUAAUUUUUUUUAAAUUUUUUUUAAAGAUGUAAAAUCUAAAAUGAUGUGAUACGAACAACACAGAUGACGAAUAUAGUAUAAAAUGGUGACUUGUAUAUGUGCCAUUUGUUAAAUAAAAUAUAUAUGUAAGAGUCAAAACAAAUUACUUUUGGAAACAUCAAUGCACCUUCUUUUUUUCAUAUAUAAAAGAAGACCCUAGAAGAGGUCACAACCACAUACAAAUUCCCUCAAUUAGUAAAGCAAAAACACAGCUUAAGUUGAAAGAUGGCUGAUGUUAAGUUGAUUGGUUUAUGGUAUAGUCCUUUUAGUAGAAGAGUUGAAUG